rnacentral:rRNA from 1 species
UACGUAGGGUGCAAGCGUUAUCCGGAAUUAUUGGGCGUAAAGAGCUCGUAGGCGGUUUGUCGCGUCUGCUGUGAAAACUGGGGGCUUAACCCUGAGCUUGCAGUGGGUACGGGCAGACUAGAGUGCGGUAGGGGAGACUGGAAUUCCUGGUGUAGCGGUGAAAUGCGCAGAUAUCAGGAGGAACACCGGUGGCGAAGGCGGGUCUCUGGGCCGUAACUGACGCUGAGGAGCGAAAGCGUGGGGAGCGAACAGG